GAUGAACGCUGGCGGCGUGCCUAAUACAUGCAAGUCGAGCGAACAGACGAGGAGCUUGCUCCUCUGACGUUAGCGGCGGACGGGUGAGUAACACGUGGAUAACCUACCUAUAAGACUGGGAUAACUUCGGGAAACCGGAGCUAAUACCGGAUAAUAUAUUGAACCGCAUGGUUCAAUAGUGAAAGACGGUUUUGCUGUCACUUAUAGAUGGAUCCGCGCCGCAUUAGCUAGUUGGUAAGGUAACGGCUUACCAAGGCAACGAUGCGUAGCCGACCUGAGAGGGUGAUCGGCCACACUGGAACUGAGACACGGUCCAGACUCCUACGGGAGGCAGCAGUAGGGAAUCUUCCCCAAUGGGCGAAAGCCUGACGGAGCAACGCCGCGUGAGUGAUGAAGGUCUUCGGAUCGUAAAACUCUGUUAUUAGGGAAGAACAAAUGUGUAAGUAACUAUGCACGUCUUGACGGUACCGAAUCAGAAAGCCACGGCUAACUACGU
rnacentral:rRNA from 1 species